GUCAAUCGAAAUAUGAUACGCAUCGAUAGUAAUGGAGCGACAGGAGGAAAAUAACAAGAUAAUUGCAAAAGCAAACAGCCUCUAACCUAUAGUUAUUUUAAUUAGCUCAAUAGUUCUAGCGUUGUGAGGUUAGAAAACCGAUGGAAGUGACGUUAGUUGAUCACACGGCAUUAAUCAUGUACUUUUAUCCCACUUUAUCCAUGCAUCUCCAGCAAGCAGAGAUAGAAAUACACGAAGGACAUCGACUGAUCGAUAAUUCCACGUAAAAAGGUCAAGCCACUUUUCCUCCAGCA